ACGCGGAUGCGCGCCGUGCCCGUCCGUGCCGGCUCGCCGCCGUCGCUCGCCCUCAGCACCAGCUCGUGAAACGCCGCCUCCUCCCGGUCCAGCGCCUUGGCCAGCACCAGCUCGGGACGCUUCUCGCCGUCGGCUCCCGCCUGCACGGACAGCGAGAAGUACUCGUCGCCGCUCAGCUCGUAGCUCUGGAGGGAGUUCACUCCCACGUCCGGGUCGUGAGCCUCGAACAGGGGAAAGCGCGACCCAGGAGCUGUCGUCUCGCUCAUUGUCAGUUCCUUUUCGGCUUCUCCAAAGUUGGGCGCGUUGUCGUUAAUGUCUGUGAUUUCCACUUCGAUCCUGUAAACCUUCAUCUCGCCCUCCACGAUCACCUCGCAGUGCAGCACACAUCGCUCCACCAGUCGGCACAGCUGCUCUCUAUCUAGCCUCUCCGCCGUCACCAGGUGGCCGCUGUUCUCGUGCAGAGCGAAAUACCGUGUCCUCUCUGCCGACACCACUCGGGCGCCGCGGUAGCGGAGCGCCGCCAGCUGCAGCGCCAGGUCCUUGGCCACGUCGCCCACGAAAGAGCCCUUGGGCAGCUCCUCGGGCACCGAGUAGCGCAGCUGUCCCCACGCCGCCUUCCACGCCGCCACCAACAUGCAGCACAGCAGCGCUCGCUGCCUCCGGCCCCAGCGCCCUUCUCUUGGUGCGCACAUCUCCGACACGGCCCCGCCGCCACCGGACGCCCGCUGACAGCUCUCCGCCGCCGCCCGACUGUUCGUCUGCCGCUCCGGAUCAGGCUCACGCUUCCGUCCCUCUGCGGCUUCGGCCCCGCCGCCGUCCGCUAUCGCCAGACCCUCCGACUCUCUGUAGCUCGCCUCCGUACCGCGGGGCCGCUCGCAGCCCUCACGGCCGCCGAUACAGCGGGCGACCGAGCGAGCCUGGCCGCAGCGGGCGGGGCUGGCUGCAGCGCUCCGCUCCUUCCUCUCCUCUCCUCCGUGGUGAACAGCGGCGCCCGCAGCCUCCGACCGGCACUGCACGCACGGCUCACAGCGAGCGCUGCCGCCCUGCCUCUUCCGCGGAAACCUUCGGCCCCCGUUGACGCGGUGCCACGGCACAUUCCCCUGCGACACGGCCCA
rnacentral:lncRNA from 1 species